rnacentral:rRNA from 1 species
AAUGUAUAGAUAACCUGCCCUUAAGAAAGGAAUACUUGUUGGAAACGACUGCUAAUGCCCUAUAUGCCUUUAAUACAUAAGUAUGCAAGGGAAACGCUUUAGUGCUUAAGGAUGGGUCUGUAUGGUAUCAGCUUGUUGGUGAGGUAAUGGCUCACCAAGGCUAUGACGCCUAACUGGUUUGAGAGGAUGAUCAGUCACACUGGAACUGAGACACGGUCCAGACUCCUACGGGAGGCAGCAGUGGGGAAUAUUGCACAAUGGACGAAAGUCUGAUGCAGCAACGCCGCGUGGAGGAUGACACAUUUCGGUGCGUAAACUCCUUUUAUAUAGGAAGAUAAUGACGGUACUAUAUGAAUAAGCACCGGCUAACUCCGUGCCAGCAGCCGCGGUAAUACGGAGGGUGCAAGCGUUACUCGGAAUCACUGGGCGUAAAGAGCGUGUAGGCGGGUAUAUAAGUCAGAAGUGAAAUCCAAUAGCUCAACUAUUGAACUGCUUUUGAAACUGUAUACCUAGAAUGUGGGAGAGGUAGAUGGAAUUUCUGGUGUAGGGGUAAAAUCCGUAGAGAUCAGAAGGAAUACCGAUUGCGAAGGCGAUCUACUGGAACAUUAUUGACGCUGAGACGCGAAAGCGUGGGGAGCAAACAGGAUUAGAUACCCUGGUAGUCCACGCCCUAAACGAUGUACACUAGUUGUUGUGAGGCUCGACCUUGCAGUAAUGCAGUUAACACAUUAAGUGUACCGCCUGNGGAGUACGGUCGCAAGAUUAAAACUCAAAGGAAUAGACGGGGACCCGCACAAG